CCCUACGGGGGGCAGCAGUGGGGAAUAUUGCACAAUGGGGGAAACCCUGAUGCAGCGACGCCGCGUGAGUGAAGAAGUAUCUCGGUACGUAAAGCUCUAUCAGCAGGGAAGAAAAAAAGUCUUUGGCUUUGGACGGUACCUGACUAAGAAGCCCCGGCUAACUACGUGCCAGCAGCCGCGGUAAUACGUAGGGGGCAAGCGUUAUCCGGAUUUACUGGGUGUAAAGGGAGCGUAGACGGCAGCGCAAGUCUGGAGUGACAUGCCUGGGCUCAACCCCGGAACUGCUUUGGGAACUGUGCAGCUAG
rnacentral:rRNA from 1 species